rnacentral:rRNA from 1 species
UACGGGGGGGGCAAGCGUUGUUCGGAAUUACUGGGCGUAAAGGGCUCGUAGGCGGCCAACUAAGUCGGAUGUGAAAUCCCCAGGCUCAACUUGGGAACUGCAUCCGAUACUGGAUGGCUUGAAUUCGGGAGAGGGAUGCAGAAUUCCAGGUGUAGCGGUGAAAUGCGUAGAUAUCUGGAGGAACACCGGUGGCGAAGGCGGCAUCCUGGACCAACACUGACACUGAGGAGCGAAAGCCAGGGGAGCAAACGGG